AUGCAACAAAGGAAAAACUGGAAAGUUCAAAAGAAGCAGUUCCAAUGUGGAAGAAGAUGGUGUUUCUUCUGCUAUUCUCCUUCUUGCUUGCAUAGCUUGUGCACCUUCCUAUGGAUAAUAAUGCAUCAAUUCUUUGCUCUUCUUCAUCCUUUGCUUUCUUCCCACCUAUUAUCAAGCACUUAUCUGUUGAAUUCGCAUCUUGUCUAUAGCUUAGUUAUUUCUUUCAGCGUUAUAGUAUAG